GGCUUAUUGAUAAUAAUAUUAAGUCUGACCUGCUCUAUGAUGAAAAUUAAAUGGCCGCGGUAAUUUGACCGUGCAAAGGUAGCAUAAUCAUUAGUUUUUUAAUUGGAAGCUUGUAUGAAAGGUUUGAUGAGGAAAUAGCUGUCUCUGUUUAAAUUUAUUAAAAAUUUAUUUUUAAGUAAGAAAGCUUAAAUGUUUAUAGAAGACGAGAAGACCCUAUAGAGUUUUAUACUUAAAAUUAAUAAGUUAUGUUUAGUAUUUUGGAAUUUGUUAUUUUGGAGUAUUUGGUUGGGGUGAUUGAAAAAUUAAUUUAACUUUUUUUUGUAUAGAAACAUUUAUUUAUGAAUUUUUGAUCCUUUUUUUAAAGAUUAAAAGAUUAAAUUACCUUAGGGAUAACAGCGUAAUUUUUUUUUAGAGUUCAAAUCGAAAGAAAAGAUUGCGACCUCGAUGUUGGAUUAAAAGGAAUUAUUGGUGUAGAAGCUAAUAAAUUAGGUCUGUUCGACCUUUAAAAUUUUACAUGAUCUGAGUUUAAACCGGCGUGAG
rnacentral:rRNA from 1 species